rnacentral:rRNA from 1 species
GAUGAACCCUGGCUGCGUGCCUAAUACAUGCAAGUCGAGCGAACAGACGCGGAGCUUUCACACCUGAGGUGAACGGCAAGCGGGUGAGUAACAUGUGGAUACCUGACCUAUUAGACUGCAAUCUCUUCGGGAAACUGGGGCUACUACCGGAUGAUUUAUUGAACCGCUUGGUUCAAUAGUUAAUGCCGGUUUUGCUAUCACUUAUAGAUGGAUCAGCGCCGCAUUAGCGAUUUGGUAAUGUAACGGCUUACCAGGGCACCGCUGCGUACCCGACCUGAGAGAGUGAUCGGCCACACGAGGACUGAGACACGGUCCAGAAGCCUACGGGGGGCAGCAGUAGGGAAUCUUCCGCAAUGGGCGAAAGCCUGACGGAGCAACGCCGCGUGAGUGAUGAAGGUCUUCGGAUCGUAAAACUCUGUUAUUAGGGAAAAACAAAUGUGUAAGUAACUAUGCACGUCUUGACGGUACCUAAUCAGAAAGCUACGGCUAACUACGUG